rnacentral:rRNA from 1 species
GCGCGAAAACUUUUGCAAUGCGGGAAACCGCGACAAGGGAACUCUGAGUGCCCGUUAAAUCGGGCUGUCCAUCGGUUUAAAUAACCGGUGAAGAAAGGGCCGGGCAAGACCGGUGCCAGCCGCCGCGGUAAUACCGGCGGCUCGAGUGGUGGCCACUAUUACUGGGCUUAAAGCGUUCGUAGCUGGUUUGUUAAGUCUCUGGGGAAAUCUUCCGGCUUAACCGGAAGGCGUUUCAGGGAUACUGGCAGACUAGGGACCGGGAGAGGUGAGAGGUACUCCAGGGGUAGGAGUGAAAUCCUGUAAUCCUUGGGGGACCACCUGUGGCGAAGGCGUCUCACCAGAACGGCUCCGACAGUGACGGGACGAAAGCUGGGGGAGCAAACCGGAUUAGAAACCCUGG